rnacentral:rRNA from 1 species
GGAUAACCUACCCUCAGGAGGGGGAUAACCCCGGGAAACUGGGGAUAAUACCCCAUAGAUCAGGGACGCUGGAAUGCGCCCUGAUUCAAAGGUCCGCCGCCUGAGGAUGGGUCUGCGGCCGAUUAGGUUGUUGUUGGGGUAACGGCCCAACAAGCCAUUGAUCGGUACGGGUUGUGAGAGCAAGAGCCCGGAGAUGGAUUCUGAGACACGAAUCCAGGCCCUACGGGGCGCAGCAGGCGCGAAAACUUUACAAUGCGAGAAAUCGUGAUAAGGGAACCCCGAGUGCCCGUAAAUUCGGGCUGUCCGCCAGUGUAAAUAACUGGUGAAGAAAGGGCCGGGCAAGACCGGUGCCAGCCGCCGCGGUAAUACCGGCGGCUCGAGUGGUGGCCACUAUUACUGGGCUUAAAGCGUCCGUAGCUGGAUUGUUAAGUCUCUUGGGAAAUCCAUCGGCUCAACCGAUGGGCGUUCAGGAGAAACUGGCAAUCUAGGGACCGGGAGAGGUGAGAGGUACUCCAGGGGUAGGAGUGAAAUCCUGUAAUCCUUGGGGGACCACCUGUGGCGAAGGCGUCUCACUAGAACGGCUCCGACAGUGAGGGACGAAAGCUGGGGGAGCAAACCGGAUUAGAUACCCGGGUAGUCCCAGCUGUAAACGAUGCGCGUUAGGUGUAUCGGUGACCACGAGUCAUCGAGGUGCCGAAGGGAAACCGUGAAACGUGCCGCCUGGGAAGUACGGUCGCAAGGCUGAAACUUAA